GAUGAAGAACGCAGCGAAAUGCGAUAAGUAGUGUGAAUUGCAGAAUUCAGUGAAUCAUCGAAUCUUUGAACGCACAUUGCGCCCUUUGGUAUUCCUUAGGGCAUGCCUGUUCGAGCGUCAUUUAAACCUUCAAGCUAAGCUUGGUGUUGGGUGACUGUCCGCUUCACUGCGGACUCGCCUCAAAAUUAUUGGCGGCCGGUACAUUGGCUUCGAGCGCAGCAGAAACGCGAACUCGGGCCCGUCGUAUUGGCUCCCAGAAGCUAUCUUCACAAUUUUGACCUCGGAUCAGGUAGGGAUACCCGCUGAACUUAAGCAUAUCAUAAGCGGAGGA
rnacentral:misc_RNA from 1 species